rnacentral:rRNA from 1 species
CCUACGGGAGGCAGCAGUGAGGAAUAUUGCUCAAUGGGCGGAAGGCUGACGCAGCCAUGCCGCGUGAAGGUCAGUGCCCUUCGGGCGUUAAACUUCUUUUGUUAGGGAGCAAUACUGGUCACUUGUGGCCAGACGAGAGUACCGUACGAAUAAGCAUCGGCUAACUCCGUGCCAGCAGCCGCGGUAACACGGGGGAGGCAAGCGUUAUCGGGAGUUAUUGGGGUUAAAGGGUGCGUAGGCUGGGAGGUAAGUCAGCGGGGAAAUGCCCCGGCCCAACGGGGGGAAGUGCCUUUGAUACUGGCGUGCUGGAAUGCUGAAGGCGUGGGAAGAAUGCGUGGUGUAGCGGUGAAAUGCGUAGAUAU